AAUCACUUGUACAUAAUUGUGAUAUGCGGAAAAACAAAUUUCUCGAAUUGAAAAACAACAAUGGGAAAGAACAAAAAACACAACAGCGACAGUGACGACGAUGACACCUUCUACUACCGCUACUCCUCAGCCUCCGCCUCCGUCUCCGCCACUUCCACGUCAGAACCACCGCAAUCCACAAACCCUAAAUCCACCGCCUCAAACACCCUAGCACCCUCAAAAUCAACGCUCUACGUCUCCAACAUCGACUACUCUCUAACAAACUCCGAUCUCCACAUGCUCUUCUCCACAUUCGGCAGAAUCGCACGCGUAACCGUCCCCAAAAAAAAAGAAACGCGACGGCCAAAAGGCUACGCGUUUAUCCAAUUCAUUUCUCGAGACGACGCCGUUUCAGCUGCGAAACAAAUGGACAAGAAAAUCCUCAACGGCCGUACGCUCUCCGCUUCGAUAGCGAUCGAUAACGGAAAGGCCGCGCAGUAUAUAAAGAAGAGGGAGUAUACUGAUAAGAGUAAGUGUUAUGAGUGUUUGGCGUUGGGGCAUUUGUCUUAUGAGUGCCCUAGGAAUCAAUUGGGCCCGAGGGAAAGGCCCGUGGAGAAGCGCGGCCGGAAAAGAGGAGCUGGUGGUGGUGGGGGUAGGAAGAGGGAGGUGGAAGUGGAGGUGGAGGUGGAGGAAGAUGUUGAGGAUGAGGAGAAUUGGGCGUCGGUGGUGGACGGAGGGGCGGGGGAGAGGUUGUUGAAGCAGGAAGAAUGGGAGGGAGAUGAAGUAGAUGGGUGGAGAGGGAAGAAGAGGAAGAAAGCUAGUUACUUCAGUGAUGAGAGUGGUGAGGAAGAUUGAUUUCUUGAGAUUUUUUCGAGCUGUGGAUUGUUUAAGGGUCGUGCACAGGUCUUGGCGAUCUCCGUAUCCAAGCCAAAAACCAUACCAAAAUAUCCAGAAUCAACAAAUAUCAGUUUAUCGUUGGCUAUUUCCGGUCCGAAUCAUAAUGAAAAUUUUGUUGGGCAGUAACACUGAAGGAUGUUAAAUGAAGUUUUUUCUUCUGGGAUAAAAAUGGAGCCUCAAUUAGCAAAAUGAUGGUAAACCUGAGCAAGUCAUUGGCUACUUCUUUUUCUUGCGGAAACUGUAAUGUGCAUGAAAGGAAGGGGCAUCUGCUAUGGCGCCACUUGCAGCGACAGUUGUCGCGUGCGGAAUAUCGGGCAAAUUAUGCAUUCUCUGGAAUUUUUUUCAAACCAAAGCGUAGGCAGUAUGCAGUUCUAUAGGAUGUACAAACAGAGAAUAAUUUACUCACUGGGAUAUGUCUUUGUAGUGGAUUGAAGCACAAGCAUAUGAAUGAAUCUAUACUGUAACAAUCGACAGAACAUUGUGAAAUCGAGACUUACUGUGCAAAUAAAAGAUCUCUAAUAUCAACUUCGAGAUCUCUAAGAUUUGGUCGACAUGGAGCUUACUGAAUUUGAAUUUCUUCUGAAGCAGUCUUCUAGUCCAUUUUAAAGUGGAUUCAGAAUCUUCUAUAUGUUCCAUACAUCUCUUAUUUGAUAUUAUCUGGAAAUGUAUGUUUUUCCUUUUUAGAAGUGAACAAGACGGGAGCCAGUUUAUUUUCAUGUAAAAAGGUCGUCAACAGAUGCUGCAGAUUGAACUCAAAUAUUCAUUAUAUUCAUUAUUCAUCAUCCUAAAAGCACUUGUUUGGAGAACAAUUAAUCUCUCGAGGCUAUCUAAUUCAACUCAAAUGUUCGUUA